CCUGUGAGAGUCGGAGAGAGAAUAAUAUUCAAUGGAUUAGAGGGGUUUGUUCUCGCACCUUGCUGGGAACGAUGCGAAAACUGGUUUCAAGGAAAAACAGGAUUCACUUGCCACACACACACAAACACACAUACAGAGUACAACCAAUAAAAGAAAAUGGUGCAGCGAUUUAUGGCCUGCCAGACAGUGCUGUCAAUUUGGCUUUAUUCCCGCAGAAUAUAGCUUGAUUUUUGAAGUGCCUCUAUCUAAUCGCAGUUUGACUUUGAUUUUCAGUUUAAUUAAACUCGAAACAUGUAAAAAGAUUACUCUUUCUCUGGGCUAUAUGAAUAUUGGAGCUUGCGUUUUCAUCUCUUUAGGGGGUUUAAGGUUAGCAGAAACCGCUUAGCGGGCAACUCUAAUGCCCUGCAAGCAGCUGCUAUGCUAUGCUAUCGGCACAAGAAAAAAGGGCGAUUCCAAAGAGAAAGAGAAACGAAACCAAAAGGCGCAGCGCAAUUACCAACACAACUACAAAUGCAUAGCAAUGCAGAGGAAAGAAAGAAAGGUGUAACCCAAUGCCAGAACAACCACCACCACUACCAGGAUAAUGCGUAGUCUUUGAGGCAUGGAGCGGCAGUGGUGGCCUAGCUGAAGGCGGCUGUACCAGCUGUUUUUCACACUCACACUGUCUCACACAGCAGUGCUUCAGAGGCAGGGUUCAAUCAAUUUGCAACACGUGCGGAAAUGGCUGUUCUGAGCUGGUACAUAGAGAUACAAUUUGCACCGUUCGUUUUUAAUAACCAUCAACGUUUAGCGUUUUACGUGACAAACACCAGGCCCGAGGAGAUUUGCUUUCAGAAGAAGCCCAAAUGACAGCAACUAAUGCGAUCACAGUGGUUGUCUCGCUCUGGCGCACACACUCGCUCGGACACGCACACUCGCACAGCACAGCACAGCUGCAAGUCGCCGCCCAGUAACCGUAGUGGAAAAUCUGGCAAGAAAUAUGUGGCCGCACGCUUUUCACACCACCAUUGCACUUACUUUAAUUGGAUUUUCGGCGUUGCACUAUGAAUUUCCGUCGAGUUUCUGCACCUCUUCACACGCGCUUUAUUUACUUUUUUAUUGUAUUGUACUACUCCUUUGCUGGAACAUACGCACGCCCAAAUGAAUCAGAUUGUAGUUAAGAGUCUAAGUAAUAUAUAGUAUUGCUUGCUAGUUAUUUGAGCAGUAUUUCCAAAGGCCACUGAAAUGCACUGUCGUUAAAUGUUUGAUUUAUUGUUAAUUUUCCAUAAGUUAACAAAUUUUUACAAAUCCGUCAGAUUCUGAA